CACUAUCGUUAACUGAAUACAUAGGUUAACGAGGCGAACCGGGGGAACUGAAACAUCUAAGUACCCCGAGGAAAAGAAAUCAACCGAGAUUCCCCCAGUAGCGGCGAGCGAACGGGGAGCAGCCCAGAGUCUGAAUCAGCUUGUGUGUUAGUGGAACGGUCUGGAAAGUCCGACGGUACAGGGUGAUAGUCCCGUACACCAAAAUGCACAGGCUGUGAACUCGAAGAGUAGGGCGGGACACGUGGUAUCCUGUCUGAAUAUGGGGGGACCAUCCUCCAAGGCUAAAUACUCCUGACUGACCGAUAGUGAACCAGUACCGUGAGGGAAAGGCGAAAAGAACCCCGGCGAGGGGAGUGAAAAAGAACCUGAAACCGUGUACGUACAAGCAGUGGGAGCACCUUAGGGUGUGACUGCGUACCUUUUGUAUAAUGGGUCAGCGACUUAUAUUCUGUAGCAAGGUUAACCGUAUAGGGGAGCCGCAGGGAAACCGAGUCUUAACUGGGCGUUAAGUUGCAGGGUAUAGACCCGAAACCCGGUGAUCUAGCCAUGGGCAGGUUGAAGGUUGGGUAACACUAACUGGAGGACCGAACCGACUAAUGUUGAAAAAUUAGCGGAUGACUUGUGGCUGGGGGUGAAAGGCCAAUCAAACCGGGAGAUAGCUGGUUCUCCCCGAAAGCUAUUUAGGUAGCGCCUCGUGAAUUCAUCUUCGGGGGUAGAGCACUGUUUCGGCUAGGGGGUCAUCCCGACUUACCAACCCGAUGCAAACUACGAAUACCGAAGAAUGUUAUCACGGGAGACACACGGCGGGUGCUAACGUCCGUCGUGAAGAGGGAAACAACCCAGACCGCCAGCUAAGGUCCCAAAGUCAUGGUUAAGUGGGAAACGAUGUGGGAAGGCACAGACAGCCAGGAUGUUGGCUUAGAAGCAGCCAUCAUUUAAAGAAAGCGUAAUAGCUCACUGGUCGAGUCGGCCUGCGCGGAAGAUGUAACGGGGCUAAACCAUGCACCGAAGCUGCGGCAGCGACACUAUGUGUUGUUGGGUAGGGGAGCGUUCUGUAAGCCUGCGAAGGUGACCUGUGAGGGUUGCUGGAGGUAUCAGAAGUGCGAAUGCUGACAUAAGUAACGAUAAAGCGGGUGAAAAGCCCGCUCGCCGGAAGACCAAGGGUUCCUGUCCAACGUUAAUCGGGGCAGGGUGAGUCGACCCCUAAGGCGAGGCCGAAAGGCGUAGUCGAUGGGAAACAGGUUAAUAUUCCUGUACUUGGUGUUACUGCGAAGGGGGGACGGAGAAGGCUAUGUUAGCCGGGCGACGGUUGUCCCGGUUUAAGCAUGUAGGCUGAUUGUCCAGGCAAAUCCGGAUAAUCAAGGCUGAGGUGUGAUGACGAGGCACUACGGUGCUGAAGUAACAAAUGCCCUGCUUCCAGGAAAAGCCUCUAAGCAUCAGGUAACAUUAAAUCGUACCCCAAACCGACACAGGUGGUCAGGUAGAGAAUACCAAGGCGCUUGAGAGAACUCGGGUGAAGGAACUAGGCAAAAUGGUGCCGUAACUUCGGGAGAAGGCACGCUGGUGUGUAGGUGAAGUCCCUGCGGAUGGAGCUGAGACCAGUCGAAGAUACCAGCUGGCUGCAACUGUUUAUUAAAAACACAGCACUGUGCAAACACGAAAGUGGACGUAUACGGUGUGACGCCUGCCCGGUGCCGGAAGGUUAAUUGAUGGGGUUAUCCGUAAGGAGAAGCUCUUGAUCGAAGCCCCGGUAAACGGCGGCCGUAACUAUAACGGUCCUAAGGUAGCGAAAUUCCUUGUCGGGUAAGUUCCGACCUGCACGAAUGGCGUAAUGAUGGCCAGGCUGUCUCCACCCGAGACUCAGUGAAAUUGAACUCGCUGUGAAGAUGCAGUGUACCCGCGGCAAGACGGAAAGACCCCGUGAACCUUUACUAUAGCUUGACACUGAACAUUGAGCCUUGAUGUGUAGGAUAGGUGGGAGGCUUUGAAGCGUGGACGCCAGUCUGCGUGGAGCCAACCUUGAAAUACCACCCUUUAAUGUUUGAUGUUCUAACGUUGGCCCCUGACCGGGGUUGCGGACAGUGUCUGGUGGGUAGUUUGACUGGGGCGGUCUCCUCCCAAAGCGUAACGGAGGAGCACGAAGGUUAGCUAAUCCUGGUCGGACAUCAGGAGGUUAGUGCAAUGGCAUAAGCUAGCUUGACUGCGAGCGUGACGGCGCGAGCAGGUGCGAAAGCAGGUCAUAGUGAUCCGGUGGUUCUGAAUGGAAGGGCCAUCGCUCAACGGAUAAAAGGUACUCCGGGGAUAACAGGCUGAUACCGCCCAAGAGUUCAUAUCGACGGCGGUGUUUGGCACCUCGAUGUCGGCUCAUCACAUCCUGGGGCUGAAGUAGGUCCCAAGGGUAUGGCUGUUCGCCAUUUAAAGUGGUACGCGAGCUGGGUUUAGAACGUCGUGAGACAGUUCGGUCCCUAUCUGCCGUGGGCGCUGGAGAAUUGAGGGGGGCUGCUCCUAGUACGAGAGGACCGGAGUGGACGCAUCACUGGUGUUCGGGUUGUCAUGCCAAUGGCACUGCCCGGUAGCUAAAUGCGGAAGAGAUAAGUGCUGAAAGCAUCUAAGCACGAAACUUGCCCCGAGAUGAGUUCUCCCUGAGACUUUAAGUCUCCUGAAGGAACGUUGAAGACGACGACGUUGAUAGGCCGGGUGUGUAAGCGCAGCGAUGCGUUGAGCUAACCGGUACUAAUGAACCGUGAGGCUUAACCUUACAACGCCGAAG
rnacentral:rRNA from 1 species